CCUACGGGGGGCAGCAGUGAGGAAUAUUGGUCAAUGGUCGGGAGACUGAACCAGCCAAGCCGCGUGAGGGAUGAAGGUACAGAGUAUCGUAAACCUCUUUUGUCAGGGAACAAAGGCGGGGACGUGUCCCCGGUUGAGUGUACCUGAAGAAAAAGCAUCGGCUAACUCCGUGCCAGCAGCCGCGGUAAUACGGAGGAUGCGAGCGUUAUCCGGAUUUAUUGGGUUUAAAGGGUGCGUAGGCGGUCGGAUAAGUUAGAGGUGAAAUCCCGAGGCUCAACUUCGGAAUUGCCUCGGAUACUGUGCGGCUAGAGAGUAGUUGCGGUAGGCGGAAUGUAUGGUGUAGCGGUGAAAGGCUUAGAGAUCAUACAGAACACCGAUUGCGAAGGCAGCUUACCAAGCUACUUCUGACGUUGAGGCACGAAAGCGUGGGGAGCAAACAGGAUUAGAUACCCCUGUGUC
rnacentral:rRNA from 1 species